ensembl:snRNA U6 U6 spliceosomal RNA
GUGCUUGCUUCAGCAGCAUAUACACAAAAUUAUAAUGAUACAGAGAAGAUUUGCAUGGUACCUGUGCAAGGAUGACACACAAAUUCUUCAAGUGUCCUGUGUUUUU